GCCUGUUUAGCAUAGUGGCUAAUGCGUUGCACUUGUACGAGAGAGCCCACUUCACACUGGGUUUCGCUUGUCGACGACAUGCAAAGAUCACAGGUUCGAUUCCUGUAAUAGGCA